rnacentral:rRNA from 1 species
GACGAACGCUGGCGGCGUGCUUAACACAUGCAAGUCGAACGAUGAAGCUAGAGCUUGCUCUGGUGGAUUAGUGGCGAACGGGUGAGUAACACGUGAGUAACCUGCCCCGCACUCUGGGAUAACUGCUGGAAACGGUAGCUAAUACCGGAUAUGACCAAUGAAGGCAUCUUCUGUUGGUGGAAAGAAUUUCGGUUCGGGAUGGACUCGCGGCCUAUCAGCUUGUUGGGGAGGUACCGGCUCACCAAGGCGACGACGGGUAGCCGGCCUGAGAGGGUGAUCGGCCACACUGGGACUGAGACACGGCCCAGACUCCUACGGGAGGCAGCAGUGGGGAAUAUUGCACAAUGGGCGCAAGCCUGAUGCAGCAACGCCGCGUGAGGGACGACGGCCUUCGGGUUGUAAACCUCUUUUAGUAGGGAAGAAGCGAAAGUGACGGUACCUGCAGAAAAAGCACCGGCUAACUACGUGCCAGCCGCCGCCGUAA